CCUGCACUCUGGGACAAGCCCUGGAAACGGGGUCUAAUACCGGAUACUGACCCGCCUGGGCAUCCAGGCGGUUCGAAAGCUCCGGCGGUGCAGGAUGAGCCCGCGGCCUAUCAGCUUGUUGGUGAGGUAACGGCUCACCAAGGCGACGACGGGUAGCCGGCCUGAGAGGGCGACCGGCCACACUGGGACUGAGACACGGCCCAGACUCCUACGGGAGGCAGCAGUGGGGAAUAUUGCACAAUGGGCGAAAGCCUGAUGCAGCGACGCCGCGUGAGGGAUGACGGCCUUCGGGUUGUAAACCUCUUUCAGCAGGGAAGAAGCGCAAGUGACGGUACCUGCAGAAGAAGCGCCGGCUAACUACGUGCCAGCAGCCGCGGUAAUACGUAGGGCGCGAGCGUUGUCCGGAAUUAUUGGGCGUAAAGAGCUCGUAGGCGGCUUGUCGCGUCGGUUGUGAAAGCCCGGGGCUUAACCCCGGGUCUGCAGUCGAUACGGGCAGGCUAGAGUUCGGUAGGGGAGAUCGGAAUUCCUGGUGUAGCGGUGAAAUGCGCAGAUAUCAGGAGGAACACCGGUGGCGAAGGCGGAUCUCUGGGCCGAUACUGA
rnacentral:rRNA from 2 species